rnacentral:lncRNA from 1 species
ACCAUUAUUUCUUGGGUUAAAGCUCAACCAAUUCCUCUCAUUGCUGGAAUGGGUAUAUAAAGUGUAGAGUAUUGUUAUCGAUGGUAUAUGUUAAAGCAUUGCCAUCUCAUUUGAUUCUAGAAGUACAUCUUCCUCCAUAUCUUUAGGUCUAGUGAAAAACCGUUUCAUUGUUGUCAUUUCUACUUAAGUCCCACGACAUUAAUGUUUGACUAUAUUCUAGAUUUUGAUAGAUAACAAGCAAUUGGUGAUUGAUCGAACUAUGUGAGGUUUUCUAGUUUUUCUGGUCCAAUGUAUGGAAAAUGAUGCACAGGGAACAUCAGAUUCAUUUAAGACAUAUUAAAUUGCUCCAUCUAAUCAGCAUCAUAGUCUUGUGGAAAAUAUAUUUAUGUGAAUAGAAUACUCUUCAGCCUAACGAAACAUCAAAGGAUGCAUUCCUCUAAUAGCAUUUGUCUAAAGAAGAGGCAAAAAAAAAUACUAUCUAAAGAGAAGCCAAUUCUUGAUCAUACGAUGAAUCUAUUGAGCAGCAUCAUCACAUAUAAUGAUGCAUCGUCUACUCUUAACUAUUAGACUUAAACAUGUUUACUUUUUUAAAAUGUUAAGAGAAAGGGUAGAGUUAGAGUGUUAAUCCAUUCUCAACUCCCAAACCCACUCCCAAACCACCUUAAUAUCAAAAAAAUUAAAGCUAGGCUAAAAAUAUCCUACAUUUUGGUAACCUUAAGAAAGUUGUGUUACUGAAAACCGAAUAUUAGAAUUAUAUUAGAAAAUGAUAUAUUAAAUGUUCUUAUUUUAUUUUGUAUGAUGGGGUGAAUUUAGAAAGCUUGGGAAAAGGAGAAAGCUAUGUCCUUAUAUCGGUUUAGAGGUCAGCUAUGACAUAUGGAAAUGAUUGGAAUAUGUAGCUAAUGGGACUUUUGACCCUUUUUUUCUCUUCCCUCUGGCUCUUAAAACAGACCAACCAAUUUCAUUGGCAUUGCUCCUACCAACGAAACAAGACAAACACAAGUGGUUUUCACUUUUCAGUAUUUGGUCUUCCUCAUGAUCGUCAUCACACAGACCCGCA